rnacentral:rRNA from 1 species
UGGUGGAGUGAUCUGUCUGGUUAAUUCCGUUAACGAACGAGACCUCGAUCUACUAAAUAGUUGACCGAACACUUCUUGUGUUCGUGGUUACAACUUCUUAGAGGGACUGUCUGUUUCUAGCAGAAUGAAGUUUGAGGCAAUAACA